GCAGGGCGGCGUGCUACCAUGCAGUCGAACGCUGAAGCACUAGCUUGCUGGUGUGGAUGAGUGGCGAACGGGUGAGUAAUACGUGAGUAACCUGCCCUUGACUCUGGGAUAAGCCCGGGAAACUGGGUCUAAUACUGGAUGCUACAUGUCACCGCAUGGUGGUGUGUGGAAAGGGUUUACUGGUCUUGGAUGGGCUCACGGCCUAUCAGCUUGUUGGUGAGGUAAUGGCUCACCAAGGCGACGACGGGUAGCCGGCCUGAGAGGGUGACCGGCCACACUGGGACUGAGACACGGCCCAGACUCCUACGGGAGGCAGCAGUGGGGAAUAUUGCACAAUGGGCGAAAGCCUGAUGCACCGACGCCGCGUGAGGGAUGACGGCCUUCGGGUUGUAAACCUCUUUCAGCAGGGAAGAAGCCACAAGUGACGGUACCUGCAGAAGAAGCGCCGGCUAACUACGUGCCAGCAGCCGCGGUAAUACGUAGGGCGCAAGCGUUGUCCGGAAUUAUUGGGCGUAAAGAGCUCGUAGGCGGUUUGUCGCGUCUGCUGUGAAAGCCCGGGGCUUCACCCCGGGUGUGCAGUGGGUACGGGCAGACUAGAGUGCAGUAGGAGAGACUGGAAUUCCUGGUGUAGCGGUGGAAUGCGCAUAUAUCACGAGGAACACCGAUGGCGAACGCAGGUCUCUGGGCUGUUACUGACGCUGAGGAGCGAAAGCAUGGCGAGCGAACAGGAUUAGAUACCCUGGUAAUCCAUGCCGUAUACGUUGCGCACUAGGUGUGUGGGACAUUCCACGUUUUCUGCGCCGUAUCUGACGCAUUAAGUGCCCCGCCUGGGGAGUACGGCCGCAAGGCUAACACUCGAUAAGAAUUUGACAGGAGCCCGCACGAGCCGGCGGAGCAUGCGGGAUUAAUGUCGAUGCAACGCGAAGCAACCUUACCAAAGGCUUUGACUGAUACCGGCAUCGUUCCAGAUCAUGGCUUCUUCUCCCUUUUGGUGUCUGUAUACAGUGUGGUGACAUGGUUCGUCGUCAGCUCGUGUCGUCGACGAUGUUGUGAUUAAGUCCCGCUACGAGCGCACCCAUCGGUCUCCAUCGUUUGUCAGCAUCUGUGAUGGUGGGUACGUCCAUGGCGAGCACUUGACCGGAGCUCGACUCAGGACGACGGUGGAGGGAUGGACGUCCAAUCAAUCAUGCCGUAUGUCCUUGUACUCCCGUCAGUCCUAACAUGGACUGGUACGACGCUAGCUAAUGCAUGCAGCUGAGCUAGUCCCGAACAAGGCCUGCAC
rnacentral:rRNA from 1 species